rnacentral:lncRNA from 1 species
CACACAAACGGGCCACUUCCUUAAACGACACCUUAAAUAUUUUUAGGAGGGUGCACAUAGUUGGUCAACUCAAAGUGUGUAUUUCUCUCAGCUGGCCCUGGUCAAUGUUGAGUGCUUUCUGAAGGUGUCUCUGCCUUCUGUUUGUUGUGUCUUUAUACAUCAGGUAAAGAAAAAACCCUUCCAUUAGUUUAGCUUCUUUGAAAAUAUUUCAUUUGAGGAUCAGAGUAGCCUGUUGAUGCACAUAAAGCUGUGGUUUCAAAAGGAAGUUUCAGGGUUGUAUUUACUAUGUGGGUGUCCCGGAGUUUAAAUAUCUCAGCCAGAGCUCUGACAGGACAGACUCCUCUGAAGAUGUGUAGCUAAAGGCAGCCAAUGACAGCCAAAGCA